rnacentral:rRNA from 1 species
UACGAAGGGGGCUAGCGUUGCUCGGAAUCACUGGGCGUAAAGCGCACGUAGGCGGAUUGCUAAGUCAGGGGUGAAAUCCCAGAGCUCAACUCUGGAACUGCCUUUGAUACUGGGUAUCUUGAGUAUGGAAGAGGUAAGUGGAAUUCCGAGUGUAGAGGUGAAAUUCGUAGAUAUUCGGAGGAACACCAGUGGCGAAGGCGGCUUACUGGUCCAUUACUGACGCUGAGGUGCGAAAGCGUGGGGAGCAAACAGG